GAGGAGGUGAAUAUGAUGAGGUCAACCACAAAACAGUUCUACCUACGCUACUUUUCUGCGACGCAGGAUGCGUCCUGGCUGGCCCGCCUGAUGGCAGGAAGACAGCAGGAAAUUCUUGGCGAACUGAUGCAGUGGGGAGUUACGUCGCAGACCUCUGAUCAUUGACUUGCAGACAUCAUGUGUGACUGAGUAUUGGUGUUAUACUCGUCGUCUUUCAAGCUGCAGGUGCGUUGGCUGCGCCCGCUCGCCCAGGUCACAUAGUUAUCUAUGUUCCCAGGGACUUACGUUCUGGCCAUCUUCCUGCAACUCGAAAUCCAUAGAGUAUAGAAUCACCCGCCAGCAGAAAACCUCUGCUGGCUUUUUUC
rnacentral:antisense_RNA from 1 species